rnacentral:rRNA from 1 species
AAUGAACGCUGGCGGCGUGCUUUACACAUGCAAGUCGAGCGGAGUCAGACCCGAAGGGCAACCGGAGGGACUGGCUCAGCGGCAAACGGGUGAGUAAUGGACAGGUAACGUACCCCCUAGACGUGGAUAGCUCAUCGAAAGAUGAGAUAAUACGCGAUAAUGUUGCAGGGCGAUGGCUCUGCAAAGAAAGCGGGCGCAAGCUCGCGCUUCCGGAUCGGCCUGUCUCCUAUCAGCUUGUUGGUGGGGUAAGAGCCUACCAAGGCGAUGACGGGUAGCUGGUCUUAGAGGAUGGUCAGCCACAUUGGAACUGCGACACGGUCCAGACUCCUACGGGUGGCUG